rfam:Trichomonas vaginalis G3, whole genome shotgun sequence.
UGAAAAAGAACUCUAAAACAGAGGGUGAAAAGUUCCUGAACUUGCUUAGGGUUAAGGCUAUUUAUAGUACCCGUCUUGAAACACGGAUUAGAGAGUUUAUCUGUAGUGCGAGUCUUUGCACGUUAACUGUAAAGGCGUAGAGAAAGCAACUGGCGUUUGCAUGGCUACUGAGCAUUACUGAUAGGACCCGAAAGGUGGUGAACUUUGCCUGCACAGGUUGAAGUCAGGGGAAACUCUGAUGGAGGACCGUACGGGUUAUUGAUGUGCAAAUCAUUUUUCUGAUGUAGGUAAAGGUGCGAAAGACUCAUCGAACCACCUAAUAGCUGGUUUCCUCCGAAGUUUCCCUCAGGAUAGCUGUAAUGCAUUUAGUUAAGGGGAGUAGAGAUAUGGGUAGAGGUGCAGGGAGCCUUCGGGUUCUCAACUUAUUUCCAAACUUCGAACCUCCUUGUUAGGCAUUUACCUAACUGGAAAUGCUUAAAUGAAUUAGCGUUACAAGUGGGCUCUGACCGGUAAGCGGUCAUGGCGAAAUGGGAUGAACCAUACGUCUGAAUAAGGUGCCGAAAUGUACUAUCACUGAUACCAUAAAGGGAGUCCAUGUAUUUAGACAGCAGGUCGGUGCCCCUAAAAGCAGGUAUCCGCUAAAGAGUGUGUUAAAACUCACCUGCCGAAUACUAGGGCCCCGAAAAUGAAUGGCGCAUAUAGUACUACCGAUCUCAGACAUCAGUUCUAUUGAACUGAGAGUAGGGGGAUGUGGACAUUUUUGUGAAGGUGCAAUGUGAGUUGGACUGGAAGAAUGUCUAUUACAGAUCCUAAUUGAAGUAGCGAUUAUCCAGGCUUGUAUCCUGGGGGCUGAUGAGGAGUAGGGUUUCUGGACAACUUAAACAGAUCCAGAGUUAGUCGAUCCUAAUCUCAAUAAUGGGAGAAAGGGAGUACAGUUGAUAUUCUGUAACUGACAACAGUUCGCGGCAACGCAUACUAUUUUUCUCCGCCAAUCUUAUACCGUUGGUAGGGAUCUCUUUCCUACAUGACAGUACUAAUACCCAGGGAAACUGGUCAUCAGGCGAACUGCGGCGUUCU